GAGCGGAUUCGUUGCGGAGCUGGGUGUGGCCCCAAAGCCCCCACUCCCGGAGGUUGCAGUGGGUCUGGGCCCGAGGAUCCAGGCCCAAGCCGAGGAGCUAGGAGCAGGAUGCCCGGGCAUUCCCCUCUUCAGGACUCCUGUGCUGCUGGACCCAGCCUGAAGUGGCCCAAAGAGACACUGGAUCAGCUAAAGAGGAACAAAGGGUUCAUUCACCCUUUGGACCUUGCCCCCAGCCUAACGACAAUUUCAGGUGGGGUAGAGGACUGGCAGAGGGCGUAUUGGGGAGUGGGAGAGGAAGUCAGUCGGUGGGGGAGAGGGAUACCUUGCCAACGACCCGGUGCUGCUGGCCCUGGCUCUGCCGCAGUGUCACCACCUCCCUCCACAAGAUCUCGUUUUGCCUGGGAGAGGGGGUGGGAAGGGGCUGAGGCAUCUGAGAGUUGUCCCAGUCACCACUCCCCGCAGACUGGCAAGUCCCAGCUCACAACCACCCGGAUGAUCAUCGUCCACAGAGAACAGAGUUCCACAGCCCGGCCCAUUUUGUCUGGAUGAAGGCGCCAAGACCCGAGAGAGGAAGGCUGCCCAGAACUUCAGUAUCUUCUCACCCAGACUCCCCGCUCCCCUACCCCUUUCCCCCCUCCCUCCUCUGCGCCACGGACCUCCCUCUCCCCCAGCUCCCCUCCACCCGCUCCACCCCGUACUGCCUGAGCUCCCGCAGCCGCGCCUCAGUGCUCUCUUGCGCUCCCCGAAAAGCUUGCACCUCGCCCAGCAGCCGGCCCAGGUCCUCGGGGCGCCAGCGGCCAUCGUCACUGCGCAGCGCAGGCGCCUGCAGGUGGGAGGCACGGUGGGGCCUGAGUCACAGGAAACUGGGCCAGCCGUCCCAGCACCUCCACCCGGGUUCGCUGGUCCCUGCAGGCUGCCCCACCUUGCGCCGCACGCGGUCCAGUAGUUGCUCCCGGCCGCGCACGAAGCUCGGGUGCUGGAACUCCACGUGGUCGCGCUCGGGCCGGAGCAGGCCUCCCUGCUCAAUGCUCACCACCUUCCGAAAACCAUCUGCGGGGGGCGGCGUGGAGCCGUAAAUGGCCCCAUCCCCUCGCACCAAGUCACCCACCGCCAAUUCCGGCCAGGACCUAGGGACUCACACAUAUUGAGUUGCCGAACAAAGCUCGCCAUGUUGCUGUGCUUGAAGUACUGGGGCAGCACUUCCUUGGCGAAGCGGCUCUGGUCGUUUACGAGGAAACUGGUCCCGCUCUGCGGAGAACGCCGCCCUCCCACCGAGACCGGAGGACAACGUCACCUCACCUCCAUCUCGCACACCCCCUCCAAGAUAAACCAUCCUGGACCGCUGAACCGAGGAGCCCACAGCCGGCCCGGCGGGGGUGGGGCGGGAGAGGAUGCUCACUGACCGGGAGAGAUCCCGAGUGCCCGGGGAGGAGUGCAGGGGCCCCAGCCCUCACCGGG